rnacentral:misc_RNA from 1 species
GUCAGAAUCUUUUACCACUAGAAUAUGAAUAAAGCAUGGUUACAAAGCACAAUAUAAAACAUCAUUAUUUGGAGAACAAGGUUAGGAGAAGGCUGUUAUAAAUGACAUGCAACAUUCUAACAAAUCAAGAACAAGAGCAGCAACUUGAGUAAACAAAUGCUUUUAUGAUGCACUGUAAGAUGCCAAAUUCUUAAAGUCAUAGGCAAAAAGAUUGAUUCGUAAAAAUUGAAAUACUGAUUACAAAAUGAAAGCUUUACACCAAAACACAUGCAGACAUAAAACUCCAUCUAAACCAUGUACAAG